rnacentral:rRNA from 1 species
UACGUAGGGACCAAGCGUUGUUCGGAUUUACUGGGCGUAAAGGGCGCGUAGGCGGCAAUUCAAGUCAGCUGUGAAAUCUCCGAGCUUAACUCGGAACGGUCAGCUGAUACUGCUUUGCUAGAGUGCAGAAAGGGCAAUCGGAAUUCUUGGUGUAGCGGUGAAAUGCGUAGAUAUCAAGAGGAACACCUGAGGCGAAGGCGGGUUGCUGGGCUGAUACUGACGCUGAGGCGCGAAAGCUAGGGGAGCGAACGGG